GGACGAACGCUGGCGGCGUGCUUAACACAUGCAAGUCGAGCGGUAAGGCCCUUUCGGGGGUACACGAGCGGCGAACGGGUGAGUAACACGUGGGUGACCUGCCCUCAGCUCUGGGAUAAGCCUGGGAAACCGGUCUAAUACUGGAUAUGACUCCAUGACGCAUGUUGUGGGGUGGAAAGCCUUGUGCGGCUGAGGAUGGGCCCGCGGCCUAUCAGCUUGUUGGUGGGGUGANGGCCUACCAAGGCGACGACGGGUAGCCGGCCUGAGAGGGCGACCGGCCACACUGGGACUGAGACACGGCCCAGACUCCUACGGGAGGCAGGCAGGUGGGGAAUCUUGCGCAAUGGGCGAAAGCCUGACGCAGCGACGCCGCGUGAGGGAUGACGGCCCUCGGGUUGUAAACCUCUUUCAGCUCCGACGAAGCGAGAGUGACGGUAGGAGCAGAAGAAGCACCGGCCAACUACGUGCCAGCCGCCGCGGU
rnacentral:rRNA from 1 species